CCACCGCCAUGGUGGUGAGAGUUGGUGGGCAGCAGGGAGCUGGUCUGUGCAGCCUUUUAAUCCUAGGGAGCUCGCUGGAUCAGUAGAUGCCUGUGUACCCUUCCAUCCACAGAGAGAUCACAUUGUGAAAGCAAAGUGGAGACACUUGAGAGACCAUUUCAAAAGAGACCUGACAGCCACUGAAAGCCAGAGAAGCAGCUCCUCAGCUAAAAAUAUCAGCACUUAUCCCCACUCCAGUGAAUUACCAUUGCUAAACAAAAAAAAACAAAAAUCAAUGGAGAUGCGACAAACAUUGAGAAACAUUGAGGAGAUUAUCCCCUAUUCAAAAGAAGGAGACAAUGACAACGAUGUAAAAGGGAUGAAUGAACUGGAAACAGACAAAGAAUUGCUUUUCCCAGCUCUCAGGAACCAGCCAGGCUAAUAAAUAAAAAAAAAG